UACGUAGGUGGCAAGCGUUGUCCGGAUUUACUGGGCGUAAAGAGCGCGCAGGCGGUCGGUCAAGUCGAGUGUGAAAGCCCCCGGCUCAACUGGGGAGGGUCAUUCGAAACUGGUCGACUCGAAGGCAGGAGAGGGUAGUGGAAUUCCCGGUGUAGUGGUGAAAUGCGUAGAUAUCGGGAGGAACACCAGUGGCGAAGGCGACUACCUGGCCUGUUCUUGACGCUGAGGCGCGAAAGCUAGGGGAGCAAACGGG
rnacentral:rRNA from 1 species